CGUCUCGUCAGUGUGGCGGCAAGCGUGGCGCCUCCCUCUCUGAACCACGAUAGUAAAUAAAGCUUGUCUUAUUCUGGCCGGACAAGAAGUGUGCUGCGUGGGAGAAGUGGCGACAGAGCAUCACUAGGGGCAGCACGCGUGGUAGCAAGUUACACCGCGGCUUUCUGCAUUCCAUCCGUGCCAGGUGUGAGUGUCCGUGCUGAGCUGAGGCGCUGCUGAGACCGCGAGCAAAGAAAGGAAACCAGACCCGAGCAUCGUCACCACAGCCACCUCCCACCCCUGCCCUCCUGCCACGCUUGUCCGCUGCCCUCAUGAAGCAGAUCCGCCCCUUGUCACCGCGCUGCACGGCUCGCUCAGGCCAUGGACCAUUCAUUAAUGCUACGACGUGAACGUCGGGUUGUAUAGCACGCCGGAAUGACGCCGAGAAUGCUUGUGUGUGUGUGUGUCUGGUGUCUGGUUAUGAUGGCGGUGGUGAUGUUGGUGAUGAUGCAUGGUGAUAAUGAUAAUAAUGAUGGUAGUAAAUGAUAACAGUAGUAAUAGUGAUAAUAAGA
rnacentral:lncRNA from 1 species